rnacentral:rRNA from 1 species
CCUACGGGGGGCAGCAGUGGGGAAUCUUGGGCAAUGGAGGGAACUCUGACCCAGCGACGCCGCGUGAAGGAAGACGGUCUUCGGAUUGUAAACUUCUGUUCUUAGUGACAAGGGGAAGAUGGUAGCUAAGGAGGAAGCCCCGGCUAACUACGUGCCAGCAGCCGCGGUAAUACGUAGGGGGCGAGCGUUGUCCGGAAUGAUUGGGCGUAAAGGGCGUGUAGGCGGCUAUUUGUGUCCGAUGUGAAAGUCCAACUUUCAAGGUUGGAAUUGCAUUAGAAACUGGGUAGCUUGAGUGCAGGAGAGGUUAUCGGAAUUCCCGGUGUAGCGGUGAAAUGCGUAGAGAUCGGGAGGAACAUCAGUGGCGAAGGCGGGUAACUGGACUGUAACUGACGCUGAGACGCGAAAGUGUGGGGAGCAAACAGGAUUAGAUACCCUGGUAGUCCACACCCUAAACGAUGAAUGCUAGGUGUAGGAGGUAUCGACCCCUUCUGCGCCGUCGUGAACACAUUAAGCAUUCCGCUUGGGGAGUACGGUCGCAAGAUUAAAACUCAAAGGAAUUGACGGGGGGCCCGCACAAGCAGCGGAGCAUGUGGUUUAAUUCGACGCAACGCGAAGAACCUUACCAGGUCUUGACAUCCAUUUAAAACUUAAGAGAWUAAGUGUGARGCAUGCUCAAAA